UUUUCUUUUUUGGGUGGGCUUCUUUGGCCCCCUUUUUUUAUUUAGGCUUCUUUGGCCUCUCUUUUUCUUGUUGUUUUUCUUUUUUUCAUGGGGCAAUGCUCUAUAAUGAUGAUCAUCACACUUUUAUUUACUUACAACUCAAUAUUACAACUCAAUACUAGAACAAAGAUAUGACUCUAUACGAAUGCCUCCGACGGUGUACCGGGAUGUGCAAUGAUCUAGUGUAGCAAUGACAUCAAACGGACAAGCCAUGAAACAAUCAUGCUAGCUGUCUUACGAUCAUGCAAAGCAAUAUGACAAUGAAUGCUCAAGUCAUGUAUAUGAUGAUGAUGGAAGUUGCAUGGAAAUAUAUCUCGGAAUGGCUAUGGAAAUGCCAUGAUAGGUAGGUAUGGUGGCUGUUUUGAGGAAGAUAUAAGGAGGCUUAUGUGUGAUAGAGCGUAUCGUAUCACGAGGUUUGGAUGCACCAGCGAAGUUUGCACCUACUCUCGAGGUGAGAAAGGGCAAUGCACGGCACCGAAGAGGCUAGCAAUGAUGGAAAGGUAAAAGUGCGUAUAAUCCAUGGACUCAACAUUAGUCAUAAAGAACUCACAUACUUAUUGCAAAAAUUUAUUAGCCCUUGAAACAAAGUACUACGCGCAUGCUCCUAGGGGGGAGGUUGGUAGGAGUUAACCAUCGCGCGCCCCCGACCUUCACACAAAGAUAAACAAUCAAAAUACAAUGCGCGCCAAUUUGGUUACAUAGUUAGUAGACCAUACGUGCAUGCUUCGGGAAUCACAAACCUUAACACCAACAUCCUUACUAAACACAACCAUCUACUAGUACCUCCCACAUAUUAUCACCUCUAUAUCGCAAAACUAUUGCAAGGAAUCAAACAUAUCAUAUUCAGUGAUCCACAAGUUUAUGUAGGAUUUUAUGACUAACCAUGUGAUUGACCAAUUCAUGUCAUCUCUUUAAAUUGAUAUAAGUUAAGCAAGAGAGUUUAAUUCUUUCUACAAAAGAUAUGCCCAUACUCUAACAAAUAUAAGUGAAGCAAAAGAGCAUUCUACAAAUGGCGGUUUUCUAUGUGAAGAGAAACAGGCAAUCCAGACUUCAAAUGAUAUAAGUGAAGCACAUGCAGCAUUCUAUAAAGCCAUACUCAAAAGAUUUAAGUGAAGUGCAAUGAGCAUUCUAUAAAUCAACCAAGGACUAUCUCAUACCAGCAUUGUGCAUAAAAGAAAAGUGAAAACUAAAUGCAAAAGACGCUCCAAGACUUGCACAUAUCGCAUGAAUGAAACGAAUACGAAAACAUACCGAUACUUGUUGAAGAAAGAGGGGAUGCCUUCCGGGGCAUCCCCAAGCUUAGAUGCUUGAGUCUCCUUGAAUAUUUACUUGGGGUGCCUUGGGCAUCCCCAAGCUUGAUCUCUUGCCUCUCUUCCUUUUCCUCAUAUCGAGACCUCCUCGAUUAGACACUUCAUCCACACAAAACUUCAACAGAAAACUCGGUAAGAUCCGUUAGUAUAAUAAAGCAAAUCACUACUCUAAGUACUGCAUCAAACCAAUUCAUAUUUUGUUUUUGCAUUGUUUCUACUGUAAUAAAGCUUUUCCAUCGCUUAAUCCACUGAUAUAAAUUGAUAGUUUCAUCAAAAUAAAGCAAACUAUGCAUCAAAAACAGAAUCUGUCAAAAACAGAACAGUCUGUAGCAAUCUGAACAUUCACCAUAAUUAUGGUUCCCCAAAAAUUCUACCAAAACUAGGAAACAUAAACAAUUUGUACAGCAAUACAGUUCAAAAAGAAUCAGACUCGUUUGACGUUCCAGUUAAAAAUGUAAAAUCGUGCACUACAGCCAAAGUUUCUGUCCUGCACCGUACAAACCAACAAGCAUUGUAAACAUCCUAAAGGCAAACCUUGGAACAUUAUUUUUAUAAUACAAUGGAAUUAUACAAGGGGAUAAUUAUUUUUGUUGAAAAGUUUCUGUAAUCAAGAUUCACAAAGUUUCCGUGAGCAUGAACAAAGUUCAAGGCUAGCUCCCACUUCAACAAUGCUUGUCUUUCUCACUUUCACUUUCCUUUUUGAAAAGUUUUAGGUUCCCCUCUUUAUUUUUUUUGUUUUUAAACUAUAUAAAAGCACUCAACAGAAAUAAAUGACUCUCUAAAACUUCCGGUUGUCUCCUGGCAGCACUUUCUUUAAAGCCAUUAAGCUAGGCAUAUAGUGCUCAAGUAAUGAAUCCACCCGGAUCCCAAGGUAUAUCAAAGCCAAUUUUAAUUAACAAUGAUUUGUAAUUUAGUAGUGAGCACAAAUUAACAUAUAUCAUGCAGCAACGAAGUCUAACUCUCUUCCUAUGCAUCGGCAUGUCAUAAAAGAACAAUUCAUGCACACCAAGUAAAGGCCAAUGCAUAGUAUAAGCAGUUUCUUGCAAUUUUAUCAUAUUGGAAACAUAGAGAGGUAGAGAUAUAGUUCCUAUCUCAUAAUAAUUGCAAGUAGGAGCAGCAAGCACAUGCAUAUUAUAUCUAUCAAAAUUAUCAUGUGCAAUGGUAAAAGGAAACCCAUCAAUAUAAUCCUUAAUAAGCACAAACUUCUCCGAUAUAGUGUAGUUUGGAGAAUUCAAAAAGAUAAUAGGACUAUCAUGCGUGGGUGCAAUAGCAACAAUUUCAUGGUUGACAUAAGGAACUAUAGCAAGUUCAUCUCCAUAAGCAUAAUUCAUAUUGGCAUCUUGGCCACGAAUAUAUCAAGCAUCAUCAAAAAGGGAUAUUUCAAGAGAAUCAACGGGAUCAUGACAAUCAUCAUAGCAAUCAUCCUUCGGUAAGAACGAAGGGGAAUUAAACAAUGUAUGAGUUGAAGAGUUAAUCUCAUUAGAAGGUGGGAACGGGUAGCUAAUCCGCUCUUCCUCCUUUUGUUCUUCGCUCUCCUCCUCAUCUUUUUCAUCCAAUGAGCUCACAGUUUCAUCAAUUUCUUCUUCCAUAGCUUCCUGCAAAAUAUUAGUCUCUUCUUGGACAGCGAAGAAUUUCUCAAUAUAUAGUUUAACAUAGGCAUUAGAAGCAUAAUUAUCAUAACAAUAUUCAAGUAUGGAAAAAAGUUCAGAUUUGUAGAGAGUAGCAUCAUACUUUUCAAUCAAAGAAGCAAUUUCAUAAGCACCCUUAAAAGCAACAAAUUCUUCAAUUUGUUGAACAUCAUAUUAAUUAUAAACACCCUUAGCAUACGAAGAUACGAUUCCAUUAUCAAUAAACUCACAUUGGUAGGGAAAGUGUUUCUUAGGGUUUUUAGAAUAACAAGUAACAUCAUAUAUUUCACAUAAAGUCCAAGCAUAGCAUUGCAAACGAUGAAUUUGAUCCAGUAAAAGUUUCCCUUUUUCAGAUAUACGGUGUCGCACAUAAAAAGCAUGCUCAUCUAAAGAUUUGCCCUCAACUAAGCUAGUGGGGGUUUCGGCACGAGCACAAAGGGAUCGAAGAUGAUCCAAGUAUAAAGCUUCAGAAGUGUGAUAGAUUUUGAGUGGUUCUUCAACCAUUGGUGUAGUAGGUACAACUAUUUUUUUGGUAUUUUGCGUUUCCUACCCAUAGCUAAAGAUAGAGAACAACUUAGAACAGCAAAUAAAAAUUACUUAGUGAUAAAGCAAACAAGCACACACGAGAAUAUUCAGCCCACGUUAUGACUCCCCGGCAACGGCGCCAGAAAAAGGUCUUGAUAACCCGCAAGUAUAGGGGAUCAAUUGUAGCCUCUUUCGAUAAGUAAGAGUGUUGAACCCAACGAGGAGCUAAAGGUAGGACAACUAUUCUCUCAAGCCCUAUCUGCCACUGAUACGACUCUACACACGCUUAGUGUUUGCUUUACCUAGAACAAGUAUGAAACUAGAAGUACUUUCUAGGUGUUGUUGGAUAGCUUUGCAAGAUAAUAAAGAGCAUGUAAAUAAAAACUAGGGGCUUUUUAGAUAAAGAAGCAAUAAAGUAAAUAUAGCGAGUGUGGAAAAGUGGUGGUAGGAGUUGUGAAAUUGUCCCUAAGCAAUUGACUAUGUUACUAGACCGGUAAUCACUAUUGCAAUUCUAUUUGAGGGAGAGGCAUAAGCUAACAUACUUUCUCUUCUUGGAUCAUAUGCACUUAUGAUUGGAACUCUAGCAAGAAUCCGCAACUACUAAAGAUCAUUAAGGUAAAACCCAACCAUAGCAUUAAAGCAUCAAGCCCCCUUUAUCCCAUACGCAAACAACCUACUUACUCGGGUCUGUGCUUCUGUCACUCACGCCACCCACCAUAAGCAAAUCAUGAACAUAUUGCAAACCCUACAGCGGGGAUCCCUCACGCUUGUGCGACACGGAUAACACCAUAGGACAGCACCAAUAAUAAAACAUGCAACUCAAACCAAUCAUAUCAAUUCAUCAAUCACCGAUAGGACAACGGAAAUCUACUCAGACAUCAUAGGAUGGCAACACAUCAUUGGAUAAUAAUAUGAAGCAUAAACCACCAUGUUCAAGUAGAGGGUACAGCGGGUUGCGGGAGAGUGGACCGCUGGAUAUAGAUAGGGGACGGUGAUGGAGAUGUUGGUGAAGAUGGUGGAGGUGUUGGUGUAGAUCACGGUGAUGAUGAUGGCCCCGGCGUCAUUCCGGUGCCACCGGAAGCAAGGGGGAGAGAGUCCCCCUUCUUCUUAUUCUUCCUUGACCUUCUCCCUAGAUGGGAGAAAAGUUUCCCCUCUGGUCCUUGGCUCCCAUGGCAUGGGAGGGGCGAGGGCCCCUCCGAGAUUGGAUCUAUCUCUCUGUCUCUCUCUAUUUCUGCGUUCCCUGAUUCUGCCCCUUCACCGUUUCUUUUAUAUCGAGAGAUCCGUAACUCCUAUUGGGGUGAAUCUUUCGCCCAGAUCUUUAUCAUAAAAUUAGCUUUCUUGCGGCAAAAGAAGAGCAUCAAACUCCUUAUGGGGGGGGGACAGGAGGGUCCAGGGCGCGCCUGCUUCCCUGGGACGUGCCCCCUGUCUUGUGGCCCCCUUGGGCACUGUCUCGUGUUGAUUUUCCCCCAAAAAAAUCACAAAUAUUCCAAAAUAAUUCUCCGUCCAUUUUUCUCCCGUUUGGACUCUGUUUGAUAUUGGGUUUCGGCGAAACAUAAAACAUGCAACAAACAGGAACUGGCAUUGGGCACUGGAUCAAUAUGUUAGUCCCAAAAAUAGUAUAAAAAGUUGCCAAAAGUAUAUGAAAGUUGAAUAAUAUUGGCAUGGAACAAUCAAAAAUUAUAGAUAUGACGGAGACGUAUCACUUAUCUAUCCCACCAUGGCCAUCGCCCACGAAGGACUUGCCUCACUUGGGUAGAUCUUCACGAAGUAGGCGAUCUCCUUGCCCUUACAAACUCCUUGGUUCAACUUCACAAUCUUGACGGAGACUCCCAAGUGACACCUGAUACGUCUCCAACGUAUCUAUAAUUUUUUAUUGUUCCAUGCUAUUAUAUUACCCAUUUUGGAUGUUUAUGGGCUUUACUUUACACUUUUAUAUCAUUUUUGGGACUAACCUAUGAACCGGAGGCCCAACCCAUAUUGUUGUUUUCUUGCCUAUUUCAGUGUUUCGAAGAAAAGGAAUAUCAAACGGAGUCCAAACGGAAUGAAACCUUCGGGAAAGCUAUUUUUGGAAUGGAAGCGAUCCAGGGGACUUGGAGUGCAAGUCAGGGAAGCUUCGAGGAGGCCACGAGGUAGGGGGCGCGCCCACCCCCUAGGCGCGCCCUCCACCCUCGUAGGCCCCUCGAGGCUCCCCCUACCGACUUCUUUCGCCUAUAUAGUCCCAUAUACCCUAAAAACAUCAAAGACAACAAUAGAUCUGGAGUUCUGCCGCCGCAAGCCUCUGUAGCCACCAAAAACCAAUCGGUACCCUGUUCCGGCACCCUGCCGGAGGGGGGAUCCCUCACCGGUGGCCAUCUUCAUCAUCCCGGCGCUCUCCAUGACGAGGAGGGAGUAGUUCACCCUCGGGGCUGAGGGUAUGUACCAGUAGCUAUGUGUUUGAUCUCUCUCUCGUGUUCUUGAGUGAUACAAUCUUGAUGUAUCGCGAGCUUUGCUACUAUAGUUGGAUCUUAUGAUGUUUCUCCCCCUCUACUCUCUUGUAAUGGAUUGAGUUUUCCCUUUGAAGUUAUCUUAUCGGAUUGAGUCUUUAAGGAUUUGAGAACACUUGAUGUAUGUCUUGUCGUGCUUAUCUGUGGUGACAAUGGGAUAUUCACGUGAUCUACUUGAUGUAUGUUUUGGUGAUCAACUUGCGGGUUCAAUGAACCUAUGCAUAGGGGUUGGCACACGUUUUCGUCUUGACUCUCUGGUAGAAACUUUGAGGCACUCUUUGAAGUACUUUGUGUUGGUUGAAUAGAUGAAUCUGAGAUUGUGUGAUGCAUAUCGUAUAAUCACGCCCACGGAUACUUGAGGUGACAAUGGAGUAUCUAGGUGACAUUAGGGUUUUGGUUGAUUUGUGUUUUAAGGUGUUAUUUUAGUAUGAACUCUAUGAUAGAUUGAACAGAAAGAAUAGCUUCGUGUUAUUUUACUACGGACUCUUGAAUAGAUUGAGCAGAAAGGAUAACUUUGAGGUGGUUUCGUACCCUACCAUAAUCUCUUUGUUUGUUCUCCGCUAUUAGUGGCUUUUGAGUGACUCUUUGUUGCAUGUUGAGGGAUAGUUAUAUGAUGCAAUUAUGUUAUUAUUGUUGAGAGAACUUGCACUAGUGAAAGUAUGAACCCUAGGCCUUGUUUCCUAGCAUUGCAAUACCGUUUGUGCUCACUUUUAUCAUUAGUUACCUUGCUGUUUUUAUAAUUUCAGAUUACAAAUACCCAUAUCUACUAUCCAUAUUGCACUUGUAUCACCAUCUCUUCGCCGAACUAGUGUGCCUAUACAAUUUACCGUUGUAUUGGGUGUGUUGGGGACACAAGAGACUCUUUGUUAUUUGGUUGCAGGGUUGUUUGAGAGAGACCAUCUUCAUCCUACGCCUCCCAUAGAUUGAUAAACCUUAGGUCAUCCACUUGAGGGAAAUUUGCUACUGUCCUACAAACCUCUGCACUUGGAGGCCCAACAACGCCUACAAGAAGAAGGUUGUGCAAUAGACAUCAAGCUCUUUUCUGGCACCGUUGUCGGGGAGGUGAGUGCUUGAAGGUAUAUCUUUAGAUCUUGCAAUAGAAUAUUUUGUUUCUUGUUUUAUCACUAGUUUAGUCUAUAAAAGAAAACUACAAAAAAAAAUGGAAUUGAGUUUGUCUCAUACGCUUCAUCUUUUUAAUAUCUUUCGUAAGUAUGAUGAAAAGGAAAAUUGUGCUCAAGUGCUAGAAGAAGUCUAUAAAAUGUUUGAUACUAAAUCUUUGUAUGAUGAGCAUGCUUGCUAUUUUGUUAGUAUGAACACUUUGAAUAUCCAUAGUAUUAAUGAUGAUUGCACUAGUUAUGAUGAAAAUGUCUCCUAUAAGCAUGUCAAUUUUUGUGGGGAGCAUUGAGUUUGCAUGAACACACCAAAUAGAGAAGAUAGAUAUUGCAAGAGGCAUAAGCAUGUAGAAACUAAAUUGUUGCAAGAAAGGCUAAGGGUGAGUGCUGAAGAAUUAUAUUUCCUUUGCCGUACUUGUGAACUUUGCAAUGAAAGUGGUCAUUUACAUCUCCGAUGCAAAUUGUUUCAUGACCGAAUCGUGUCCAAAAGUUGUGAUGAUUUGAUUUCCCUUGCACAUUAUAAUGAAAUUAGUUUGCUUAUGGGUUAUGAAGAUAUGAAACGAUUAAUUAAGCACCUUCCAGAAUUUGCCCGUUAUAAACUUCUUGAUUUUGAUCUAGAGACAAUUUAUAUGUUUUGUGCGGUGAAUUUCAUUGAAAAUCCUUAUAUUGCCAAUUACAUAAAGAAAAGAAAGCAAAUAGAAGAUGAAGAGAAUACUAAUGAAAGGGAAGAGAUUUCCCAAUAUCCUCCUAUUAUUUCUUAUGAUGAAUCAGGUAAUGACGAGGAGCUUUCUAUUCAACCAAUCUCAUCUAUAAGGAGCUCAAAGAAGAAGGUUGAACCCACACAUAAUGUGAAGAAUAAAAAGAAAAGAAGAAGCAACAAAGGUAAAAAGGUAUCCCUCCCAAAUGAUGAUGCUCCUACUACUCAUUGUGAUGAUGAUAAUUGCUAUACUACUGGUGUUGUCCAUACUAUUUAUGAUGAGAGUGAUUAUGCUUAUGAUAUGAAAAGGCCCAAGCUUGGGGAUGCUACGUUUAAUGAAGAUGAUAUUUUUUGCCUCCCAAGUUUUGAUAUGCAAAGUUGUUACGAUGAUAGCAUGCCUCUUACCUAUGAUGAAUAUGAAAGUGGAUUUGGAAGAGUGUCAACUUUAUUUAGUGAUGAUUCCACUAUCUUGGGAGAGGUUUUAAUCGAUUAUGAUGAGAACGAAGUUGCUACUUAUGAUGAUUAUUGUGAUGAAACUUAUGCUAUAAAAAGUAGUGAUGAUUAUAUUUAUAAAACUUGUCAUGAUUAUGAUUACCCUUUUUCUGAACAUUACUCUUUUAAUGUGGAAACAAUUUAUAGUAUUCAAGUCUAUUAUGAUACUCCCACUAUUCCGAAUGAGAAGGAUUUUGCUUAUGUGGAGAGUAGUAAAUUUUCUAAGCUUGUAGAUCAUGAAAAGAAUGCUUGUAGGAAUUGCAAUAAUGUCAAGUUUCCUCUCUAUGUGCUUCAAGUUUUGAACUUAUGCUUGUUUUGCCUUCCUAUGCUAGUUGAUUAUUGUUCCCAUAAGUUGUUUGCUCACAAAAUCCCUAUGCAUAGGAAGUGGGUUAGGCUUAAAUGUGCUAGUCAUAUGCUUCAUGAUGCUCCCGUUAUGUUUCAAUUCUUAUCUUUUAUGUGAGCAUCAUUGUCAUCAUCAUGCCUAGCUAGAAAGGCAUUAAAGAAAAGCGCUUGUUGGGAGACAACCCAAUAUUUACCCUUACUGUUUUUGUGUGUUAACAUGAUUAUGAUACUGUAGUAAUCAUGUUUUAUAGCUUUUGUUUCAAUAAAGUGCCAAGUAAGACCUUUAGGAUAGCUUACGGUGAUAGUUGUGUUGAUCCUGCUGAAAAUCAGAAACUUUUGCACCCAGUAAAUUAGUUUUGAUAAUUCACAGAAACGUGCUUCUGAUCUUAUUAUUUUUUCUCUGGAUUAGUACACAAAUUUCUUAGGACUUCCUAAUUUUGUAGGAUUGUUGGAGUUCCAUAAGUAUAUGUUUGGUACAGAUUACUACAGACUGUUCUGUUUUUGAUAGAUUCUGUUUUCUAUGUGUUGUUUACUUAUUUUGAUGAAUCUAUGAGUAGUAUGGGAGGGUAUGAACCAUAGAGAAGUUGGAAUACAUUAGAUAUUACACCAAUAUGAAUUUAUAAUGAGUUCAUUACAUUAACUAAGUGGUGGUUUUAUUUUCUUAUACUAACGGAGCUUACGAGUUUUCUGUUGAGUUUUGUGUUGUGAAGUUUUCAAGUUUUGGGUAAAGAUUCGAUGGACUAUGGAAUAAGGAGUGGCAAGAAACUAAGCUUGGGGAUGCCCAAGGCACCCCAAGGCAAUAUUCAAGGACAACCAAGAGCCUAAGCUUGGGGAUGCCCCGGAUGGCAUCCCCUCUUUCGUCUUCAUUCAGCGGUAACUUUACUUGCAGCUAUAUUUUUAUUCACCACAUGAUAUGUGUUUUGCUUGGAGCGUCAUUUUAUUUUGUUAGUAUUUUAUUGCUGUUAUUUAGAAUAAUGGUUUGCAUCUAUAUUUUCAAUAAAAAUUUCAAGGAUAGCCUUUACCAUGCUUAUUUUGCUAGUAUACAUGUUGCUGUUUGAAAACAGAAAGUUUACCGCUGUUGCAAAAAUUUCCUAGAAAAGUCAGAGAAUGAUAUAAUGUUUAAAUUUUUUGCAUAUUGAGAUAUGAUAAAUCUUCUACAUAGUAGUAUUUUUCUCAUAAUUUUUGGAGUUAGGGAAGUAUGAUGAAUCUUGCAUUCUUUACAGACAAUACUGCUUUGGCAGAUUGCUGUUAUGUUUGCAUUGUUUGCAUAUGUUUGCUUGUUUAAUGAUUCUAUUUGAGGAUAGUAGUAUUAAAUAUGAAGAGGCAUUUAGUAUGCAAUGUUGAAUAAUAAUUUGCAUGGGUAUAUAUAGGAGGAAGAAGUAGGUCGGUGGCUGCCCGAGGGGCCCACGAGAUAGGGGGCGCGCCCUGUAGGGGUGGGCGCGCCCUCCACCAUCGUGGCCGCCUCGGCUGCUUCUUGACUUGCACUCCAAGUCCUAUGGAUCACGUUCGUUCCAAAAAUCACGCUCCCGAAGGUUUCAUUCCGUUUGGACUCCAUUUGAUAUUCCUUUUCUUAGAAAUACUGAAAUAGGCAACAAAAAAAAUAGCAAUGCGGGCUGGUCCUCCGGUUAGUAGGUUAGUCCCAAAAAUGAUAUAAAUGUGUAAAGUAAAGCCCAUAAACAUCGAAAAAGGGUAAUAUAAUAGCAUAGAACAAUAAAAAAUUAUAGAUACAUUGGAGACAUAUCAUGUCCGCAUAUAACCUUCCAAUAUAUCAAUCUUUACCUCUCGACCAUUUUGAGACUCCUCGUCAUGUCCGUGCAUCCGGGACUCCGAACAACCUUCGGUCACCAAAACACAUAACUCAUAUAUUACAUAUUUUCAUCGAAUGUUAAGCUGCGGACCCUACGGGUUUGAGAACUAUGUAGACAUGACCGAGACACUUCUCCGGUCAAUAACCAAUAGCGGAACUUGGAUGCUCAUAUUGGUUCCCACAUAUUCUACGAAGAUCUGUAAGUGCAUCUAGUGCCCCUUAGUGAUUUUGGUGUAUUGACGACUUGUAGGUUAAGGGACUGAUGCGUUUGUGAGUGUACACAGGUAUAUAAGUCUAUGAGGAGUUUGAUAUUUACAGAGAAAGUCGACCCCUAAAAAUGAAGUUCUUCAACUGAAGACUUUGGAUUUCUGAAGACUUUCUGAAGACUUUGGAAGUGAAGAAAUUGGUGUGACCUUGAAGACUUGGUAUUCAUUCGAGGAACAUGAAGCGUGAAGACUUUGUUUUUAUAGUUUCAUUUUCUCUUUCUUGAGUCAUAGGAAACACCGUACUGUUAAAGGGGGUCGAGGAAAUACUAAGAAAAAUGUCCAUGUGAUGCUCAAUUCAAAAUCCUACACCUACCAAUCCCUUCGAGUGAAACCAUUGGAAAUCUCAUACAGUUCAGUCAUAUUCUUCACUGACAGAGACGAAGUUCUUCUGGUCUCUGAGGAAUUUGUUCUGACUGAGGAGUUAGGAAUUCACCAGUGUGAAUUGCCUACACAGUGAGGAACAUGAUAGCCCUGGGGAUUUUGAUAGUCAAAAUUCCGACCGUUGCUGUGCUAUGCGCCAGCGGUUCCAAAAUAUCUACCCACCUAACGGUCAUAUCAGACAAGGGCAUUUAUGUCUUAUCAUGUCGGGCUGCUCCCUAGGCUAUAAAUAGCCGCCCCCUUCAACCACUAGCUGGUUGACUGCUCCGAGAGAAACUGACACUUGUCAUUUGAGAGCAACCCAUCCUCCGAGGAUAUUGAGCAAAAAUCAUCAAGUGAGGAAAACCCAAAAACCCAACACCUACAAACCCAAAGUGAUUGUGCAUCACUGAAGAGAUUGAUCCUGCGUGGAUCCGAUGCUUGUUUCCUUUGAAGAUUGUGCUUCUUCCAGACGGUUAGGUGUCAAGGUCUACAGCAUCCAAGAGGAAUUGUGGAUCGCCGAGUGACCGAGUUUGUGAAGGUUCGGAAGUCACCUGAAGACUUACCACGAGGGAUUGGGCGAGGUCUAUGUGACCUUAGCUCAAGGAGAAUACGGUGAGGACUGUGUGUCCGAGACUGGGUGUCCUCGAGUUUAAAUACUCAGCCGCUUCAACCAGAUGUACAACUGAGACAGCAGUUGGAACUGGUCUACCAAAUCAUUGUCUUCACCGAGCUUCCUGAUUCUAUUUCCUCAACUCUUUCAUUUCCUCAUGUAUGUUGUUGUGUGCCUGUUCAUAUCUGUCUGAAGACAUUGACUGAAGACUUUCUCAAUUUCCUCAGUUCUAUUUCUUCAGUCCGCUCGUCUUCUUCCUUGUGUUAUCAUGUGUUUACGCUUUCUAUACUCUGUGCUUGUCUUAAUUUCAUCAUGAUGACUGUGCUUGUGUUCUGUUAUGUUCACUUCUGAGUACUUAUUCCGCUGCAAGUAGUUCUUCAUUUAGGAAUUUCCUCACCAGCAAAUUCCUCAGAGAAGAAUUCAUAAAAAUCGCCUAUUCACCCCCCCCCCUCUAGUCGAUAUAACGCACUUUCAAUUGGUAUCAGAGCAAGGUACUCCCUUGUUCUGUGUGAUUUUGGUUUAACCGCCUGGAGUUUUAGUUAUGUCGACCGCAGGUAUGAUCAAGGUCUCUGCUGGGUGUCCUACCUUCGAUGGAAUGGACUACCCCUACUGGAAGAACAAGAUACGAAUGCAUCUUGAGGCAAUUGACAAUGAUCUCUUGUAUGUUGUGGAAAAUGGUGUUCCCUCAGUCACACCAUCUCUGAACGCUACUGAUGUGAAGAGAUUCAAGCAACUCGAUUCUCAAGCGAAGAAUAUCAUAUGUGGUCAUCUGAGCAAAGGACAGUAUGGAAGAGUGAGUGCUUUGGAAACUGCCAAGCUUAUCUGGGAUAGGCUGUCCAAAGUAAUUGAAGGAGUCUCAACUCAACGUGACUCUCGUGUUGACAUUCUUCGCAAUCUCUUCAACCGCUUCAAAAGACUCGACAAUGAAAAUGAUCAUCAAACCUUCGAUCGCCUCACUGACUUCUCAAAUGAGCUUCAAGCGCUUGGCGCCACUAACAUCACCGACCAUGAGGUGGUGAAGAAAUUGCUGAGAUCGCUAGAUUCUUCAUUUGAUACUCUGGCACUGAUGAUUCAAGAGCAUGCUGACUACAAGUCACUUGAUCCCGCUGAUAUCCUCGAGAGGCUAAACACUCAUGAGUUCCAGCUUGCUGAGAAGAGAGAUCUCUAUGGUCCAAGCUAUGGUAAACCACGUUCCUUGAAGGCCAAGGCUGUCUUUGAGUCUGAAGGAGAGGACUCCACUAGCAGCCUUGGUGAUCCUCAAGAACUGAGCUAGGAACUAGCAUUGCUCGUGAAGAAAUUCCAGAAGUUCUCAAGACGUGGCCGAUUUGGAAAAUCCUCAAGGAGCAAUGAUUCCUCAUCUAGUGAUUAUAAGAAGAGGUUGUGUCACAAAUGCAAAAAGCCGGGUCACUACAUUCAAGAUUGUCUUCAGUGAGACAAGGAAUUGAAGAAGAAGAAAUACAAGGAUUACAGUUCUGAUGAUGGCAAGAAGAAGAAGAAAUCUUCAAAGUCUUCAUCGUCAAAAUCCUCGAAGUCUUCAUCUCACAAUAAGAGCAUCUCCAAGAAAGCUCGGGCAUUCAUUGGCAAGGAAAUGGAUUCUGAGGCUGAAUCUGAGGAUCAUGAGGAAGAGGAGGCAUCCGAGGAGUCCGAGUCUGGUGUGGCAAGCCUGGCUCUUGCUACCGCGUUCGUCAGCAAGUCUAUCUUCAACUCUUAAGAAAAUGGCAACACCAACAAUGUUGAUGAAGGCAAUGAUGACUACGCUCCCACCUAUUGCUUCAUGGCAAAGGGUGCCAAGGUAACUAAAUACCCCUCCUCUGACUCUAGUGAGGAUGAAUCUGAUGAAAAUCUCAAGCCCAGCUACUCUAAACUUGCUAAAAUUGCUGUGAAACAACAAAAGGCUAUUGAAAAGCUUCAAAACAUGUUAGACAAAAGUGAUGAUAUGUUGGGUGAAGAAAUGGAUCGCACAAAAAACUUAACUGAUAAUCUUCAGAGACUUCAGUCUAAGUUUGACAAUCUUCAAAGUCAUCAUAACACUCUCUUAUCUGAUCAUGAGAAGCUUUAUUAUGAGUUUAUUCAAAGAAAGCAAGAUCUUGAGAAGCUAAGAGUGAGUUAUGAAGAUCUUCAGAAGGAGCAUGAUUCAUUACUUGCUCAACAAAUCAGCGCUACCCAGGAAGAAUUUGUUCCUCCAUGUCUGAAGUGCAUUGAACGUGAAACUGCUAAUUCUUCACCUGAAUGUUCAAAUGCUUCUAAUGCUACAAAUUCUUCAUAUGUCUCUGUUGUCACUAAUUCCUCAUCUGAGGACAAUGCAAGUAUCACUGAUGAUGCAGGGUUGAAGGAAUUGUACAUGACAAGCAUGUACAAAAGCCUCAAAGGGCAUCAGACUCUUUGUGAUGUGCUCAAAAAGCAGAUCCUCAACAGAAACCCUAGGAAAGAGGGUAUUGCCUUUGAGAGGAAACUCAAUGUUGAUGGAACAUAUUAGAAGCCUGAUCAGUAUCCCAAAACCUCAUGGGUUGCUGCAAAGGGACCUCCAGUUGAUCCAUCCAACUUAUCUGGCUUUACAUGUGAAUCUCCCCAUUCUUUUGAUGAGUCAUUUGACUCUAACUAUAAGCUGUUCAAAAAUCAGAAUGGUGAAGUAUUUGCUAGAUAUGUUGGGACUAACUGCAGGAACAGUUCUCCUAUGAAGAAAAUCUGGGUUCCCAAAAGUUGCCUUGAAAGUCUUCAGGUGAAUGUCCUCAUGACACCACCUGUGAAGAAAAGGAACUCCAGAUCAAAUUCUUCAUAUGAACCAAAUUCUUCAUAUGGAUCCAAGUCCUCAUACGGACCAAAUUCCUCACGUGGAUCAAAUUCCUCAAAAGGAUCAAAGUCCUCAUAUGAUCAUCAUCGUACUAACCCUUCUGUUUCGCAGGGUAGAGCUAAGGGCUAUGAAUAUGUGCAUUAUUCUUCAAAUCAUUAUGUUCAUAAGUCCUAAAGAAUUUCUCUGCUUAUUCAUAUGCUUACCCUAACCCCUCGUAUGUGAAACGAAGUGGACUGGCAUCCAUGCCACCUUUCUCAUAUGGUGCUCGCAGAGUGAUGAAUUCUUUGCCACCCCUCCAGAUGUGGGUGGUGAAGAAAAAGAACUAAUCUCUUAUGCAGGGUCAGGUCUCCAGUCGUGCUCAAAACGACUGAAGAAUUUGCUAGAGACCUGAACAGUGCCUGAUAGGACGCAGGCUAAUCAUGAUGAAAUGAACUUUCAUUUCUCACGUCCUCAUACUGAUUAUCUGUUCUAAUUGCUUGAUGAAAUUGACCUGAUGUUACUGAUGUCAUAUUCUUCACUGAUGAAGUAUAUGAGUUUGUAAGCUGCACUAAUUCAUCUGCAGGAUGAUCAACCCAAAGCAAAUGAGUGGGUCCUCGAUAGUGGAUGUACAAAUCACAUGACUGGUGACAAGAAUCUAUUGAUGGAUGCUCCCUUAUCACCGUCACAUCUGAAGCAUAUCAUCUUCGCUGACAAAGGCAAAAGUCAGGUAUUGGGUCUAGGUAAGGUUGCGAUCUCUAAGGACAUACACAUGGACAAAGUCAUGCUUGUCGAGUCCUUAGGAUACAACCUCAUGUCUGUCUUAAUGCUUUGUGAUCUUGACAUGGUUGUUGUCUUUGGCAAGUAUCGUUGUGUUGUGAUCUUGGAAGCUGACAAUUCCAAAGUCUUCGAAGGCUUUAGGAGAGGAGACUUGUACAUUGUUGAUUUCUCUACAGGACCACGGCCUGCCAUGUGCUUACUUGCAAAAGCUUCAGAAGGCUGGCUAUGGCAUCGAUGACUUGGUCAUGCUGGCAUGAGGAAUCUGCACACGCUCGCGAAGAAGAAGCAUGUCAUUGGCAUUAAGAAUGUGAAAUUCCUCAAGGAUCACUUAUCCAGAGCCUGUGAAGCUGGGAAGAUGACAAAGGCCAAGCAUCCAGCGAAGACUAUCAUGACUACCACUCGACCAUUUGAAUUGCUUCACAUGGAUCUCUUCGGUCCUAAUCAUUAUUCUGCUAUGACGAAUGAUGCAUCUCUAUAUGGCUUUGUUAUUGUUGAUGAUUAUUCUCGUUACACAUGGGUACACAUUGUCACUUACAAACAUGAAGUGCAGGAAGUCUUCAAACGAUUUUCCUCGAGGGCUUCAACCAACUUUGGUGUGAAGAUCAAACACAUCAGAAGUGACAAUGGGACUGAGUUCAAGAAUUCCGGUCUUGAUGGCUAUCUUGAUGAACUUGGUAUUACUCAUGAGUUAUCUGCUCCUUAUACUCCUCAGCAGAAUGGCGUCGUGGAGCGCAAGAACAGAACCCUCACUGAAAUGGCUUGCACUAUGCUUGAUGAAUACAAGACACCUCGUCGGUUCUGGAUUGAUGCAAUUGAUACUGCUUGCCACAUCAUCAACAGAGUAUAUCUUCACAAAUUCUUCAAGAACACUGCCUAUGAACUCCUCACUGACAAGAAACCCAAUGUAAGUUACUUCAAAGUCUUCGGUGCUAAAUGUUGGAUUAGAGAUCCACAUCACAAUUCUAAAUUUGCACCGAAAGCAGAUGAGGGUUUCAUGCUUGGUUACGGAAAGGACUCGCACACCUACAGAGUCUUCAACAGCAUUCUUCACAAGGUUUUUGAAACUGUAGAUGUGCGGUUCGAUGAAACUAAUGGCUCGCAAAGAGAGCACCUACCUUCUGUGAUAGAUGAACCAGCACUUGAGGAUUCUAUCAAGUUCAAGGCUACUGAGGAUGUCAUUCCUACUGAAGAAUCCACUGAAGAAUUCAUUCCAGAACGUGAUGAACAUCAAGCUGGCGCACCUGAAGAAAAUGGUGCUGAGGAAAAUGCAUCUGAAGAUAAUGCAAAUCAAAUUCCUCGAAGACAACCCGCUCAUCCUCGCAUUGCAAACGAAGUGCAAGUCGAGAAGAUCAUUGAUGAUAUUCGUGCACCAGGUCCUCUCACACGCUCAAAAGCUUCACAUUUAUCUAACUUUUGUGGGCACUUUUCUUUUGUCUCUAUCACAGAGCCCACUAAGGUAGAUGAAGCAUUUCUGGAGCCUGAGUGGGUUCAAGCUAUGCAAGAAGAAUUAUAUCAGUUUGAGCUCAACAAUGUCUGGGAAUUGGUCAAACGUCCAGAUCCUCGUAAGCACAACAUUAUUGGCACAAAAUGGAUAUACCGCAACAAGCAAGAUGAAAAUGGCCUUGUGGUGAGGAAUAAGACACGGCUUGUAGCUCAAGGCUACACACAGGUUGAAGGAAUUGAUUUCGAUGAAACUUUUGCACAUGUUGCUAGACUUGUGGCUAUUCGCAUAUUACUUGCUUACGCUAACCAUCAUAAUAUCACCUUAUAUCAAAUGGAUGUGAAAAGUGCAUUCCUCAAUGGUAAGCUUGAGGAAGAAGUAUAUGUUGCUCAACCCCCAGGUUUUGAAGAUCCAAAGAAUUCUGACAAAGUCUUCAGACUCAACAAGGCCCUGUAUGGCCUCAAGCAAGCCCCUCGGGCGUGGUAUGAUACCUUGAAGGAAUUCUUCAUGAAGAAAGGCUUCAAACCCGGUUCACUCGACCCAACUCUUUUCACUAAAUCUUAUGAUGGUGAAUUGUUUGUGUGCCAAAUAUAUGUUGAUGAUAUCAUUUUCGGCUGUACUGACCAACGAUAUAGUGAUGAAUUUGCCUAUAUGAUGAGUGAAGAAUAUCAAAUGUCUAUGAUGGGAGAGUUGAAAUUCUUUUUAGGUCUUCAAAUUCAUCAACAGCGCAAUGGAAUAUUCAUAUCUCAGGAGAAAUACCUCAAGGACGUAUUGAGGAAAUUCGGCAUGCAAGAUUGCAAAGGGGUCAAAAUUCCAAUGCCCACAAAUGGCCAUCUAUGCACUGAUGAAAAUGGUAAAGACUUCGAUCAAAAGGUAUACCGCUCCAUGAUUGGCUCUUUAUUGUACCUAUGUGCAUCUAGGCCAGAUAUUAUGCUUAGUGUUUGCAUGUGUGCCCGAUUUCAAGCUACACCGAAGGAAUCACACCAUAAGGCUAUGAAGCAUAUACUUCGAUACUUAGCUCACACACCAACACUUGGAUUAUAGUAUCCCAAGGGCUCUUCAUUUGAUCUCAUUGGAUAUUCAGACUCUGACUAUGCUGGCGAUCGCGUGGACUGCAAGUCAACAUCAGGCACAUGCCAUUUCCUCGGACGAUCUUUGGUCUGUUGGUCCUCGAAGAAACAGAACUGCGUAUCUCUCUCCACUGCAGAAGCUGAGUACAUUGCUACUGGAUCGUGUUGUGCUCAAUUACUUUGGAUGAAGCAAACACUCAAGGACUAUGGCAUCAACGUGAAGAAUGUGCCUCUCUACUGCAACAAUGAGAGUGCUAUCAAGAUUGCUCACAACCCUGUUCAGCACUCGAAGACCAAGCACAUCCAGAUUCGUCAUCAUUUCCUUCGUGAUCAUGUGUUGAAGGGCGAUGUCUCCAUCGACCACGCUAGCACUAAAGAUCAGCUGGCCGAUAUCUUCACUAAGCCCUUGGAUGAGAAGAGAUUUAGCAAGUUGUGGUGUGAGCUAAAUAUCCUAGAAUCUUUGAAUGUUCUCUGAAAUGGACACACAUCCUAACACUUAUGCUGACUUGAUGACUUAGAUGCGCAACACACGAAGUAACGUUUUUCUUCAAUCAAUGAAGACUAACCCUCUAAGUGUGAAGAAAUUAAUGAAGAAAUUGAUUCUCAGAGCCCUACGACAAUUGUACGCGGUGUCUGAAAUCAACUUUCUUAUACGGUGGGUUAUGCCACCACCCAAAGUUGAAAAUCUUCAAUUUGAGUUUUUCUUCGUUUUUGAAAUUCCUCAGUUUUUCAAAUUCUUCAACUUUGCAUUGUCUUCGCUCUUCCCAGUGUUGUUCUUCAUUUGAAUAUAUAUAUAUAUAUGAGUUUUAUGUCCUCUACAGCAUUCACUUAUUGCUAAUUCCUUAAGUUGAUUUCUUGUGCUAAGUGAAUGUGAUCGGACCCUUUCCCAUCUAUGCUAAACUCAACCCAAUCUAUUCACAAAUUCCUCAUAUGCGUUCUAUUUGAAACUCGUUCAAAUUCUUCACUAUGUCCUUGACAGCUGAAGAAAUUGCGAACGGAACUUUUAACUUAUCUUAUCUAAAUUUUCGGUUUUGCCGCUCAAACUGUUCCGCUUAUCGCGACAAAUACUUAUCUAUUCACCCACGAUCCUACACGAUCGCCACCUCUCAGUACGUGGGUGACACAUGUCAAGUGAAUGAGAAGAGGCCAGGGGCAUGUUCGUCCGAUUUCCUCGGUUGAACAGUUUUCACUCCCUCUAUAAAUACCCAUGUCUCUUCCUCACUUCACUUUCACCUCGCUCGUGCUCUCUCUCCCGCUCGAGCUUCCCAAAACCCUAGCGCCGCCGCUACUUCAUCGUCGCCGGUGAGGAAGAGCUUCACUGCCUCAACCUCAUCGCCGUCGUACUCGCACCGGUUGCGGAUUUCUUCACUCCACAGCCGCCAUAGACGUCUUCCUCUGCCGAGUUAGGGCGUGGAAGAUCUGACCUGACGAACUUCACUUCUGUUCUUCCCAGUUCGUCGUGUUCUUCACUUUGGGUAAUUAAAAGUUACUUUUAACUGCUCGCUUUGAUUCUCAAGUUUUCCUGAAAAUCUUCAAAAGUGUUUAUUCUUCAAUUCUUCACACAUAUAAACACCUCACAUAUCAUCUGCUCUUGAUUCGUUUCUCUAAGCAAUGAUUUUAUUCAAGAUUCCUCAAUUGUGUGGAUUUUCAAUCUAUACAACUUUGGAACCUAAGACAAAGAACGCUUAGUGAAAUUUCUCAAGACUCAUCUGGUCAAAUUCCUCAAAACCUAUUCUUUUUGAAAAACCUUCUGAGAACGCAUAUGACCUCUCCAAAUUCCUCGCAACUAUACUCUGUUCAUAGGUACAAAUGUCCGCUGCUGAAUCACUAGGUUCUCAUCAACUUAACUCAUUUGCAUCGUUCCUCGAAGAAAAGUUGCAUACCUCUUCAGAAACUUCAGUGGUUCAUAUUCCUCAGCUGGAGAAAAUGGGUGACAAAAGGCCACAGAAGGGAGGAAAGAGGCCUGAGGUCAAUACUGCAUUUGAAAUCCCUGAGGACAUAUAUAAGGACUACUGCACACCUGAUGAAGCCAAAUUCGGCAAAGAGGACAAGAAUCAGCGCAAGGUGCGCAUACAAAGGAUAGAGAGGAGAUGGGCACGAGAAUGGAGGGAGUACAGAUAUGUAACUCCCAAAUACAUGAAGAUAUUCGCACUCAACCCUCCAUGCCCAAGACCUCCAUUGGCACCAGGCCAGUUGGCAGAUCCCACCAGCCUCAAGCGCGGUCAGGACUAUCCUGAUGAAUGGGCAAAGCGCUAGGCCAAAUUGGCAAAGCAAGCAAAGGAAGCAGUGAAGAAAUUCAACGCAGACUCUGCUGCUGCUGCUACCUCUGCUGAGGCCUCUGCUAGUCAGCCAAAGAAGGCAAUGCACAAGAAGCCUGCGCACAAGUCUAGUGCUUCACCUUCAAUGCCCUCACGUCCAAGCUCCUCUGCUAUGCCAUCAAGGCCAGAUUCUUCAAGGCCCUCACGACAAAUUCCUCAGACUACUCCUUCAAAGUCCUCAGCUCCUCCGUCAAAGUCUUCAGCUGCUCUGACAAAAUCCUCGGCACCUAUGCAUCUCUCCACGUGCCAAAGGACUCAAGGCUUCUCUAUUGCCUCAGGAGCAUCUACAAGCUCCUCUGCUGCUUGAAAUUCCUCAGCUGGUCCCUCACUGCUGAAGAAAAAGGCCACUGCUGGACGAGGUCUUCGACCAAGUCCUCACAAGAAGCAAGUCGCUUUCCAAGUGCCCUCUGAUGAUGAUGAGGCGGAUGAUGAAGAACUUGCCGAAAUCAUCAGAAACAGGCAAGCCAGGGCCGCUAGAGCCAAAGGCAGCAAUGUGCCGCUGAUGCCGGAUCCAAAGUUGAUCCUCGACUACAUUGACAUGUGGCACAAGGAUCCUAACACACCUUUGCCGGAGAUGAACCUCACUCCUGGUCAAAGUCAUGUUCUCACUGCCUUCAUUGAGGAAGAAAAAUGGAAAUUUGAACAAGGCAGAAGUUUGAAGAAAGCGCAGUACAAGAAACAACGCUACCUCAAGGACAAUGUCCUCAUUCUCACUCCUGAUCAGCUCCUUGCCUUGCAAGAGGAAAUCAAACAAAUGAGCAAUGAAUUUGAUCGCUACUAUGCUGAUUGGAAGGGCGCCAAGGUGCGUUUCGUCAAUCUGACAAAGAAAUUCACUUCAAGUGUUGCUCCACCUGUGCACGUUGAAGUUACUCAGGCUGAGGCAUCUGCUCAGCCUACUAAAGAAAAUGCCAGCACCGCUGAUGACAAUCAGGCUACUGAAGAAAAUGAGAGUGCCAGGGCUAAUGACUCCAUUCCAGCUGCUGAAGAUAUUGCCAGGGCAUCCACUAGUGGUGUGCCUGAAGAAAGUGAACAAAUCAGGACAACUGCAUCAGUUGUGCCUGAGGAAAAUGAACCAAAGUCCUCUGCACCUCCUGCGCCUACACCAACUUCGAUUCUUCCAUCUGCAUUAGAUGUGAAGAAGCCCAAGGCUAUAGAACAUGCAGCUGUGAAGAAAAGGAAGGCAUCAACUUCUUCAAAUUCUUCAGCUCCGAAGAAGAUGAAGACUCUGAUCAGUUCAAUUGACAAUCCAAUUGAUGUCGUUCCAGUCACAUCUAUGCCAUCAAAGGACCUUGUUCCAUUUGGUGAAGAUUAUGUGAUUCCUGAUGAAUCAGAUGGAGAAACUCCUUCUGCUGCUUCGACAGAGCAGUUGGACGAAGAAAUUGAAGUGGAUGAGAUCCCUUCAACCCCAGUCAUUUCCUCACCUUUGCCUCAGUUUACUGCUGAAGAGGCAGGUGUUGAAGAAAUUGAAGAAGAGGAUGUGGACAUUGGUUGUACCACUCCUGUUCUCAAUGGUGAAUUUUGGGACAGUCAACAUCCCAACUCUCCAAUGUUCACUCCCCUUCAAGAUAUUCCUCAGUCCCCUGCCGCCAUUGAAGUGCAAAUGGGAUUUGAAGAACCUCAUGCAACCCCAAGUGUUCAUGAAGAAAUUCCAGCCACUAGUGCUGAAGAUAUUGUCAAUGAAGAUUUGACGACCCAGGCUGAAGCUGCUGAAGAGCCUGAAAUUCCUCAGCCUGAGAAACCUGAGAUUGCGAUUCCUGAAGUAGUGCUGCAAUUGACUGACACUCCUCAGCCCAAGCCAAAGGAUCCUUUCUCCAGAAGGCAAAAAUUCAAGGCUGGUGAUUUCUUUGGCGAGCACGUAUUCUUCACGGAAUUCAACCCCUAUGACAAUGCUCGUCUUAGAAGGAAGCGUUUCUGGACUGCCAGCCAGGCCAACUUCUAUUCCUUAAUGCUUUUCAACAAGGACAAAGUCUUCGAUCAUGAGCAUAUUCCUCAUGUGGACAUGGAAUCCAUGCCUUGCUUCUCUCAAGUCCUCAGCAUGACUCAUGACGCUGGCUUGCUCAAUUUCUGCUCUGACAUAGUUGAUUGGAAUGAAGAGCUUAUUCUUCAGUUCUAUGCAACUUUGCAUAUCACAGGCGAUGCUGCUGACGUCAACUCAUGGGUGUUGGAUUGGAUGACCGAAAACACUCAUUACAAGGCACCAGCCUCUGAAUUGCUUCGUGCCUUACCAAUCAGUCCUCCACCUGACGGUGCUCGUUGUCUGUAUGAUGAGCCUGAACUCACUGGUCAUUAUAUGCAAGUGCUCAUGAAGCCGCUGAAUCCAGGACAAGCUCCAAGGACCAAAUUCCUCGUGAAGGAAUUGCUCUAUGUGCCCAGAACCAUCUACCGCAUUCUGACGAAGACCAUGAGUCCCAUCAAAGGCCAUGACUCAUCCGAUGAAGAAAUUAUCGGAGUGAUGAAGAAUAUGCUUUUCAAUAUCAUGCAUGGCAUCCCCAUAAAUGAGCACGAUUUCUUCAUGAGGACUCUGGCAAAUGUUGCACUUUCACCAUUUGAGCUGAAGCCUUACGCGCCGUGGAUCAUGAGAUUCCUCAGAGCAAGGUCUUCACUCAACUACAAGGUUGAUUUUCAGAAUCACCUCAGCUACUUGCCCCCUAUUGAAGUCCUCAAGCGGACAAUUUCCUCAUCUGAUGAGAAGGGCAAGUCACCAGCUGUGAUCGAUGAAGGCAUUCGUCCAUUGGAUGGUCAGUUCCGCAAAGCUGCAUCUUACUCCACCAAUGAUGACUCUGCCACACAUGAUUCUGCUGCCAAUGCUACCAAGACAAGUCCUUAAGCUACUGCUCCUCGUGUGCUGGCUGAUCGUGAACUACUGAUAAGUCUUCACCAGAAGGUGGAUCACAACCACAAGUGGGUUAAGCGUCAGUUUGGUUCUAUUCUUCACAACAUGACUUCCACACAUAAUGCAGUGAAGAAAAACCACUACUACCUCCAUGAAGUGUUUGAUCGCACCUGGGCUAUUCUGUCACAUCUAUAUGGUGAAGAAGAUCUGAAGCAAAUGGGCUUCAAGGAAGACUUUGACUGGUCUGCUCCUCCUCCGAAGAGAUACAAGAAGGUCAAGGUUCCUCCCUUGGUGGCCAGCUCAUAUUCUUCAUCGCGCGACACGGACAAGCAUGAAGACUUGGACGACACUGCAGCAGGCCCUACAACGACUCAAGACCCUGACAACACUGGCGCUCCUCCAUCCACAUGAUAUUCUUCAGGGGCGUUAGUCCUAAGUUUCAACCCUUUUGGUCAUUCGAUGACAAAGGGGGAGAAAUUUGAGUUAGUCUUCAAGCGGGUCUAUCCUAUAUGGGCAUUUUUUUUGCUAAGUUACAACUCUCGUUCUUCUGAUGACUUUGCUGGAUUGAGUUGUAAUCUUAAACUCUAUGGUGACCUGAUACUUUUGUUGUGUUCUUCUGCAUGCUUAUUCCUCAUUAAUGUUAAUGCACGCAUGCUGAAUUACAUCAGUCACCAUAUUUCAUCAUGCAUUUCAAAUUCUUCAUAUUAUAUAUCAAAUGCGUGUAUGAAUUACAAGAUAUAGGGGGAGAUCUCCAUGAUUAUACUCUUCAAGUGUGCAAUUGCUUCAAAAGCAAAAUUCCUCACUAUGCACAUCUUCAGGGGGAGUUCCUCUAUAUCUUCCAAUCAAAUUCCUCAACAUAAGUAUCUACACCUCAUAUAUUUAUCCCCGUUGAAAACUUAACCUAUAUUGUCAUCAAUCACCAAAAAGGGGGAGAUUGUAAGUGCAUCUAGUGCCCCUUAGUGAUUUUGGUGUAUUGAAGACUUAUAGGUUAAGGGACUGAUGCGUUUGUGAGUGUACACAGGUAUAUAAGUCUAUGAGGAGUUUGAUAUUUACAGAGAAAGUCGACCCCUAAAAAUGAAGUUCUUCAACUAAAGACUCUGGAUUUCUGAAGACUUUCUGAAGACUUUGAAAGUGAAGAAAUUGGUGUGACCUUGAAGACUUGGUAUUUAUUCAAGGAACAUGAAGCGUGAAUAUUUUUGUUUUUAUAGUUUCAUUUUCUCUUUCUUGAGUCAUACGAAACACCGUACUGUUAAAGGGGGUCGAGGAAGUACUAAGGAAAAAUUUCCAUGUGAUGCUCAACUCAAAAUCCUACACCUACCAAUCCCUUCGAGUGAAGCCAUUGGAAAUCUCAUACAGUUCAGUCAUAUUCUUCAGUGAAAGAGACGAAGUUCUUCUGGUCUUUGAGGAAUUUGUUCUGACUGAGGAGUUACGAAUUCACCAGUGUGAAUUGCCUACACAGUGAGGAACAUGAUAGCCCUGGGAAUUUUGAUAGUCAAAAUUCCGACCGUUGCUGUGCUAUGCGCCAGCGGUUCCAAAAUAUCUACCCACCUAAUGGUCAUAUCAGACAAGGGCAUUUAUGUCUUAUCAUUUCGGGCUGCUCCCUAGGCUAUAAAUAGCCGCCCCCUUCAACCACUAGCUGGUUGGCUGCUCCAAGAGAAACUGACACUUGUCAUUUGAGAGCAACCCAUCCUCCAAGGACUUUGAGCGAAAAUCAUCAAGUGGGGAAAACCCAAAAACCCAACACCUACAAACCCAAAGUGAUUAAGCAUCACUGAAGAGAUUGAUCCUGCGUGGAUCUGACGCUUGUUUCCUUUGAAGACUAUGCUUCUUCCAGACGGUUAGGCGUCAAGGUCUAGAGCAUCCAAGAGGAAUUGUGGAUCGCCGAGUGACCAAGUUUGUGAAGGUUCAGAAGUCACCUGAAGACUUACCACGAGGGAUUGGGCGAGGUCUGUGUGACCUUAGCUCAAGGAGAAUACGGUGAGGAUUGUGUGUCCGAGACUGGGUGUCCUCGAGUUUAAAUACUCAGCCGCUCCAACCAGAUGUACAACUGAGACAACAGUUGGAACUGGUCUACCAAAUCAUUGUCUUCACCGAGCUUCCUGAUUCUAUUUCCUCAACUCUUUCAUUUCCUCAUGUAUGUUGUUGUGUGCCUGUUCAUAUCUGUCUGAAGACAUUGACUGAAGACUUUCUCAAUUUCCUCAGUUCUAUUUCUUCAGUCCGCUCGUCUUCUUCCUUGUGUUAUCCUGUGUUUACGCUUUCUGUACUCUGUGCUUGUCUUCACUUCAUCAUGAUGACUGUGCUUGUGUUCUGUUAUGUUCACUUCUGAGUACUUAUUCCGCUGCAAGUAGUUCUUCAUUUAGGAAUUUCCUCACCAGCAAAUUCCUCAGUGAAGAAUUCAUAAAAAUCGCCUAUUCACCCCCCUCUAGUCGAUAUAACGCACUUUCAAGAUCUUUAUCGGUCGAACCGCAAUGUGAACAUAUGAUAUUCCCUUUGUCAUCGGUAUGUUACUUGCCCGAGAUUCGAUCGUUGGUAUCUUCAUACCUAGUUGCUCGUUACCGGCAAGUCUCUUUACUUGUCCUGUAGUGCAUCAUUCUGUAACUAACUCAUUAGUCACAUUGCUUGUAGGGUUUCAUAUGAUGUGCAUUGCCGAGAGGACCGAGAGAUACCUCUCCGAUACUCAGCAUGGCAAAUCCUAAUCUUGAUCUAUGCCAGCCCAACAAACACCUUCGUAUAUACCUGUAGAGCACCUUUAUAAUCACCCAGUUAUGUUGUGACGUUUGAUAGCACACAAGACAUUCCUCCGGUGUUUGGGAGUUGCAUAAUCUCAUAGUCGGAGGAAUAUAUAUUUGACACAAAGAAAGCAGUAGCAAUAAAACUGGGCGAUCAUUAUGCUAAGCUAAAAGAUGAGUCUUGUCCAUCACAUCAUUACACUAAUGAUGUGAUCCCAUCUAUCAAAUGACAACUCAUGUCCACGGCUAGGAAACUUAACCAUCUUUGAUCAAUGAGCUAGUCUAGUAGAGGCACACUAGGGACACGGUGUUUUGUCUAUGUAUUCAGACGUGUAUCAAGUUUCAGGUUAAUACAAUUCUAGCAUGAAUAAUAAACAUUUAUCAUGAAUAAGGAAAUAUAAAACAACAACUUUAUUAUUGCCUCUAGGGCAUAUUUCCUUCACAUACCCCCUGAUACUACCCAUAGAUUCAUCAAAAUAAGCAAACGACACAAAGAAAACAGAAUCUGUCAAAAACAGAAUAGUCUGUAGCAAUCUGGAAACUUCGAAUACUUCUGUAACUCCAAAAAUUCUGAAAAAUUAGGACAACCUGGGCAAUUUGUGUACCAAUCUUGUGCAAAAAGAAUCAGAUCAAACACACGCUCCUGUGAAUUAUGAAACUUAUUUUUCCUGGGUGCAAAAGUUUCUGUUUUUCAGCAAGAUCAAACCAACUAUCACCGUAAGCCAUCCAAAAGGUCUUACUUGGCACAAACACUAAAUAAAACACAAAACCACAUCUAACCAGAGGACGGAUGAAUUAUUCAAAGCAAAACAGGAACAAAAAUUAAAUUGUGUUGCCUCCCAACAAGCGAUAUUGUUUAACGCCCUUAGCUUGGCAUAAAAACACGUAUAGAUCUAGGUAUUGUCAUCUUUGGUAUGCAAUUCUUUUCUCAUCAAAUCCUCCAAAAUCGUCUUAAUAAAUCUAUCCUUUCCUUUAUUUCCUUUCUAGUAGAUGAACUUAAAUCAUGAAAAGGACUUUGACUAGUGAUUUUGACAUUCAUAAACCCGUAAUCAGGAUCAUCACCAUAUAUAUCAUCAUACAAAACACAUAUCUCGUUUCUAACAGGUUCUUUCAUCAUCUUAUUCAACCAAUCCCUGUUAAAUCCUAUAUGAAUUCCCCUUGUAAUCGAAUCAAGUUCUUCAUAGGUCUCAAGGUACAAAGUUUGAGAGAUUUCUAAAUAGGGAACUCUCCUCCUAAGAUUCUCACUAUAAGAUUGAUAAUCCCUAGAUUCCAAUCUACGCAUAGUUUCUUUAUCAUGAAGUAUAACUUCAAUCGGAGGGUGUGCAACAUCUUUAUUAUAAAAAGCAAAAAUAUCCCUAGCUUCUUGUAUUGUAAAAUCAAAUUCUCGCAUAAGGAUGGUAGCAAUGUUUUUAGCUAUAGGAUGAUUAAUGGUGGGGAGUUCGUAAAACACCUUUUGCAAAGCCGGAUGGAUGUGCACAAAUUUUCUUUAUAAUUUCUCAACGAGCAUAACAAUGGCAUCUGCAUAGCAAUUUGUAUCAAGAAGAAUAGAUUUUUUACUCAUAGGCAUAGAUCCCGUACAAUCGGAGAAUUCUUAAAUAACGCUUUUCCCAAUAAUAUUACCUUCCCCCACACGAUUUUUUUUUGUUUUGUAAUUAGGAGGAGUUUCAGUUUCGUGAUCCAAAGAACAGGAUCCAAGUUUUUCCUCAAGAUUCUCAACGAUAACCUCCCCAAAUUCAGACAUGAUGACAACAAACCAAUCUAGCAAACAAGCAAACAGAAAGCAAACGAAAAGACGAACGAAAGAGGGGCGAAGAAAAAGGGCAAAGAAAAAGGGCGAGGAAAAGGGAGAAUCUUUUCGAAAAUUGUUUUAGAAGUGGGGGAGAGGAAAAUGAGAGGAAAAUGGCGAAUAAUGUAAUGCACGAGAUGAGAGGUUUAUGAUGGGUACUUGCUAUGUCUUGACUUGGCGUAGAUCUCCCCGGCAACAACGUCAGAAAUUCUUCCUGCUACUUCUUGAGCUUGCGUUGGUUUUUCCCUCAAAGAGGAAAGGGUGAUGCAGCAAAGUAAAGAUAAGUAUUUCCUCAGUUAGAGAACGAAGGUAUCAUUCCAAUAGGAGACAACGCACAAAUCACCAAGACCUGCACAAACAAUCAAACAACUUGCACCCAACGCGAUAAAGGGGUUGUCAAUCCCUUCACGGUUACUUGCAAAAGUGAGAUCUGAUAGAGAUAGAUGAAACUAAACAAAAGGUAAAGUAAAUAUUUUUGGUUUAUAGAUCAGAAAGUAAAAUGUUGCAAAAUAGUAGAUUGAAAACUUAUAUGAUGGAAAAUAGACCCGGGGCCAUAGGUUUCACUAGUGGCUUCUCUCAAGAUAGCAAAUGAUGCGGUGGGUGAACAAAUUACUGUCGAGCAAUUGAUAGAAAAGCGCAAAGUUAUGACGAUAUCUAAGGCAAUGAUUAUGAACUAUAGGCAUCACGUUCGUGUCAAGUAGACCGACUCCUGCCUGCAUCUACUACUAUUACUCCACACAUUGACCGACUCCUGCAUGCAUCUAGAGUAUUAAGUUCAUGAAGAACAAAGUAACGCAUUAAGUAAGAUGGCAUGAUGUAGAUGAAUAAACUCAAGUAAUAUGAUGUAAACCCCAUCUUGUUAUCCUCGAUGACAACAAUACAAUACGUGCCUUGCUGCCCCUACUAUCACUGCGAAAGGACACUACAAGAUUGAACCGAAAUCUAAGCACUUCUCCAAUUGCAAGAAAAGCCAAUCUAGUUGGCCAAACUAAACCGAUAGUUCGAAGAGAAUUACAAAGAUAUCAAAUCAUGCAUAUAAUAAUUCAGAGAAGAUUCAAAUAAUAUUCAUAGAUAAGCAGAUCAUAAAUCCACAAUUCAUCGGAUCUCGACAAGCACGCCGCGAAAGAAGAUUACAUCUGAUAGAUCUCCAAGAACAUCGAGGAGAACAUGCUAUUGAGAAGCAAAGAGAGAGAAGAAGUCAUCUAGCUACUAGCUAUGGACCCGUAGGUCUGAGGUAAACUACUCACGCUUCACCGGAAGGGCAAUAGAGUUAAUGUAGAAGCCCUCCGUGAUUGAAUCCCCCUCCGUGAGGAUGCCAGAAAAGGCCCCUAGAUGGGAUCUCACGGGAACAGAAGGUUGCGGCGGUAGAAAAGUGUUUUUCGUGGAUGCUUCUGGUGGUUUGGGGGUAUUUGGGAAUAUAUAGAACGAAGAAUUAGGUCAGGGGACUCACGAGGGGCCCACAAGGCAGGGGGCGCGCCCUACCCCCCUGGGCUCACCCUCACCCCUUGUCGCUGCGUCGUGGCUCUUCCGACUUGAUCUCCAAGUCUCCUAGGUGUCUUCUGGUCCAAGUAAAAUCAUCGCGAAGGUUUCAUUCCGUUUGGACUCCGUUUGGUAUUCAUUUUCUGCGAAGCUCAAAAACAAGGAAAAAAACAGAAACUGGCACUGGGCUCUAGGUUAAUAGGUUAGUCCCAAAAAUAAUAUAAAAUAGCAUAUUAAUGCAUAUAAAACAUCCAAAACAGAUAAUAUAAUAGGAUUGAACAAUAAAAAAUUAUAGAUACGUUGGAGACGUAUCACACGCCCGCGGGUCAUUGUUCGUGAGCGCUUCCUCGAGCCACCGCCACUUGGCUGAUCCGCCCGCCGCCACACCCCUCAUCCGAUUUGAGGAUUUCCCGGAUCUUCCUCCACUGCGGUCGCCGAUGAGGGCCUACCUCGGCAUCCGGCAGCGGAGUGGGGGUCGUGGGUGACGGAAAUCACCGACCGAGAGAUCCACAAGCGAAAGGUUGGCUCGUUCCACAUGGCCAAGCUCGCGACCAUGGAAUACAACCGGUGGUAGGUCCGGUUCCACGGCCGCGAGGCAAGGCCCAACUUCCCCUUCGGCACAGCUCCGGUCCAUCUUGUCCUGCCGGAGCAGGGGGUGGUCAGUGCUCGGAUGGGGCGGGAGGACCAAGAGGCGAGGGAGUGCCUCGAGGCUAAGGCUGCCGCUGAGGCCUACAUGGAUGGGCUCCGCCGACAGUACCGAAGCUCGUGGAGGCGGAGCGGGCGAUAUUCGCCAUCAAUGACGGCGAAGUUAUCGUCGUCUCCAACGAGCAGGGCGACAAGGAGGAGAUCGACGUCGAUGAGUGGCGGAGCAUCUUGCCCAACGACAAUGACGACGGCACCGGCCCGGACCCAGCUCGCACCGAGGGUGACCUCACCCAGAAGGACUGGCUCGACCUCCACUUUGGCCGAAUUUAGUUUAAGUUUAGUUAUAGUUUAAAUUUAUGCUUAAUGUUCGGUUGCAAGGACUUUCUAAGUUGAACUUUAUGUUUAAAUGCAUCAUCUUUCGCUUGAGAUUUAAUUGAAUUUGUGCAAAUUUAAUUUUUACUCCACUAACUUUAAGGGAUCAACUAGGUCCGGUAAAAAUUUAGUAAAGUAUAUAUACUCCACUAAGGAAUACCUACCAUACAUCCCCAUGGGCAAGAAUGUUGAACGUUCGACCACAUACACACGCACGCACGCAGCAGCCAGGGAUGAAUAUAGGGGUGACCAUGGUCACGUGGUGCGACGUACGAGGAGAGAAUAAGAUAGGAUCAUGAGGGCAUUUCUAACUGAUCCCCCUCCCAUCUCCUCACGUGACCAGGGUGAGGUGAGGGUCCUAUAUUCAGCCGCUGGCUGCUGCGUGGGGGUCUGUGGUCGACGUUCAACAUUCUUGCUCGUCGGGGUGUAUGGUGUGUGGUAGGUAUUCUUCAACGUCCCAACAUUCCAAGUGUGCGCUCCCGGUUUCCCUCCAAAAAGCUAGCCCGUGCACACCGCACCAAACUUGCAUGCUCAAACCCCGGUCCAGAUUCGAGAAGCGUCCGUCCGUGUCCUGCUAGGACGAUAUGACGAGCAACAAACUUGUAAGGUGAGCGUCAGGAAACUGUCCUGUCGAUUUUAUUGUGAAAAAUGAAAUCGCAUGGGAGAAAGGAGCAGCGGAGCACCGCAUCGGCUUGGAAAAGAAACCUCAGUGAACAUGCAACGACGACGUGACGACGCUUCGGUCUAGGAAGAAAGGACCCGAGCGCCGACGAGCGACCGACCGACCGACGUCUAAUCGCGGGGGCAGGCUUUAGGGGCGCUUUCGACGUCGGACUGUUGCAUCGGCGCAUCACACCACGCCACGGAAUUCUGAUCCCGGGAAGAUGCGCUCGUGUCGCGUCGCAUCGCAAGCAAGACGGGAUUCCCUGCCCGCUCCGACGGAAACGUCUCCACUCUCCGCCCUUUUGCGUCCCUGCUGACCUGGGCGCAUGAGGCUUUAUAUCUUUCGGAAUGUCCAAAGCAUCCGCCAUGUUAGCUGCAAGUCGGUGCCGAAAGCUCAUGCCGUGCCGACAGUGGUGGCGCCAUCGCCCAUCGCCGUAUCGCCUUCCAGCCCCGCCCCGCCCCGGUGCGUCCACCCCAACAGCAGCCACGUCCGUGCGGCGGUUGGCGUUCAAAGCAGGGGAGAUUUUCUCCUGCGCACGGACGCGACCCAAGCCCAACUAACUUGCUCCAUCUGCCCCAAUUUUUUGGAGGUGUCCGCUUUGAGUUUUCUCGUCAGAUGGUAGUACUACUGUGCUGCCUGAAAGUUGCUUUACUGUCUAGAAACUUUUGUCGCAUCCAACAAGUGCUCAAGAAAGUGCAGGGCUUUCUAUGUUGCAAAGUACUACAGUACUACUAAUAAACUGCAUCAGGAAGACACUAACUGAAAUGCAUCUUGCUGACAGAACAGGGUUAAAGGGAACAGAUGGCGCCGGUAGCACCCAGAACAGGGUCAAUUGUACCACAAGAGUUCCCAGCCCACUGCUUCCAACCAUCCAUCUGUUAGUUACACGAGCUAAAUAAAUUUUACUUGUGAAAAUAACUCAAGGGAGCUAGGUUGCCCACAGGUUCUUCCUAUCCAACUGUUAAACUUUACAGGAGCAGAAUAAAAUUUACUUGGAGAAAUAACUAAAGGGACGAUGACAGGUUCUUCAUCCAGCUGCUGUCGAUCUUUGCAGGAUCAAGAUAAAAUUUACUUGGGGAGAUAACUCAAGGGACGACGACACGUUCUUCAUCCAGCUGCUGUCGAUCUUUGCAGGACCAAGAUAAAGUUUACUUGGGGAGAUAACUCAAGGGACGAUGAUAGGUCGUUCAUCCAGCUGUUGUCGAUCUUUGCAGGAGCAACAUAAAAUUUACUCGGGGAUAUAACUCAAGAGACAGGGAUGGGUUCUUCGGGUUCUUCAAUCUUUGCACCACAGGAAUACCUCCUUUUCAUCAUUAUAGCUCUGCUUCUGUACACUGUUGGACUGGCGAUCUUGACCAUCCUUCUCCUCGGGGCCUUCGAAGCACUCGGUCUUCUCUUAGGCGUCGAGUUUCCAGCAUGCCUGCCGUUCUUCACGGGCGUCGAGUUUCCAGCUUGCCCGCCGUUCUUCACAGGCGUCUUGUCAGAGCACGCUUCGUCUCCGCAGAGAUGGGCGAAGUGACCACGAGGAUUCACAUAACAGUAUGAUGAGCUGACAAUCCCUACGACCGUUGACGGGCGCACUGUUUGCAUAAAAUCCUCUAACUCUGCGAAACAAGCAUGGUCGGUGUAUGGCAGAGUGUAGGAAUCCUUCUCAAAUAGCUUUGGUGGUGACGAGGGAUCAUAGUUCAUCUCUAUUGUGCCUGCGCCCCGCCCUCGCCCUUUGCAUCUGGUAGACUUUGCUGCUGCUUUACCACUGAACUUAGCCUUUCCCUCACAGUUUCUCCAUAGCCAAGUGUUGCCUGAAGGCAUGAUUCCUAUAGUUGGACAUACUGUGUUCAAAGCUUCAAGACUCUCGAUGCUCAGGCCGUACCUUGGAACAGCCCGGACCCUCGUCAAGCUGGUCUGGGUGGUGAAGAUCUCUCGAUUGUCAUCAAUGCCUAGAAGGUGCAUUGUCAGUAGGCGCUGGGGCCAGACCCAAAUCUGACGACGAAAGUGAGAAAAGAAUAUUUUAGCCUUCAGAAGAAGAAGAUCAAUGUGUAGCGUUUAUAAAGCAAAUACAAUAGCAGCGUGUGUAUCAAAGUUCUGACGCGUGUGUAUCAAAGUUCUGACGGCUACACAGAAUUUUAGACUAAAGAUGACUGAGCAGGGGUGAGAACUUAACACCAAUACUGAAGCACGUUUUUCUUUAGGGGACAAUACUGAAGCAAGUUUAUGUUGAAUAAAAGAAUGGAAAUAGGAAAUUGAAAACAUAUCAGGAGUAGAACAUUGAGCAUGUCAAGGAAAGGAGGCUUAGCACCUUCGUUUGUAGUGCUCUGGCUAUAUAAAGCAAGAGGUCUUCUUUGCCAAGAGUGUCAAUGCCAAGAAUAACUUCAUGAUCAGGAUGAGCACAAAUAAGGUCAACUAUCUGCACUCAACACUAAGAAAAUAUUAGUAUAAAACAUCCAACAUAGCAUGAUGGGGAAUUUAAUGGUCACAUAUGCGAAGAAACUUAUGUGUAGGCAACUUACUUACAAGUUGGGAAUGACAUCUUAUUGCAGGUAAAUUAAUUAGCACUAGAACUCUAGACUAUAUCAGAGCAUCCACCCCAUUAGUAAAAUAGAAUGUGGGGCAGCUAAUGCUGAACAUGAGGAAGUACAACAGCUGUUCAACCAAAUCCGUGCCCAGUUAGUCUCUGUCCCCUUGAAGAUGCAGCUAUAGAAAACAAUAUGCCACUGGUUUUCACCUUUGACAGACAUUUGGCUUGAGUGGCAUCAACAGGCUAUACCAAAUUUCUGACUGAAAUUCUAUGAGCUCCAUGCGAAAUGCCAAAAGUAUUGAUGUAUAAGCAGCAUACUGUGUAUAUGAACUAGGUUGUAACUGACAGUUGCAACUGACACCAAAGGAUGGACACCGAUAAUUGCAUAUCAAAGUGCAUCUGCUCAUUCUGGAGACUUCACUGCUAGAAUGGGGUCAGGCCUCCAAGGCAUUCUAAGAAUUGUUUUCCUUAGGGAUCCACAACACAACGUAUAAUCUUCCUAGUAAUUUUUCUCUGAAGAAAAAUUCAGACUAGCAUGGACUACGGCUGGCUGAAGUGACAGCGUUGCAUACACAGGGCAGAAAAUGCCACACUGGACCGAAUCAAAUCUGACCUGCUGAGCGACGACGCGGCGCGGGGGGAAGUUGAGCGACGGGUGGCAGUAGGUGUUGUCCAAGUAGAGCACGUCGACGGUGUCCCCGGCGAGCGCGUCGAGGAGCGCCUUCUUCGCGGCCCGCGCCUUGUCGCACCCCAACUCCCACCGGAAAUCCCCGGUGUACAGCCUGCACCCGAGGUCGCCGCGGAAGAGGAACAUGAGCGAGCCUGCACACACGGCGCGCGGCCACGGAUCGAUCAGCGGGUUUACCGAGCGGCGGCAAGCGAGCGCAUCAGGAGAGGAGGGUUUGGGGAGGGGAGGCGUACCGGGGCAGUGGAUGGCGGGGAGGGCGGUGACGUGGAGGGAGACGGUGCGCCCGGAGAUUGGGGAGGUGAGGGUGAGCGAGGCGGAGGCUCCGGCGGCGAUGGGGCGGAGGAGGGAGGCGUCGACCCCCGGGAAGCGGGUGGGGAGGAGGCGCGCCGUGACGGGGGAGCAGUAGAGCGGGCCGUGGCGCCAGCCGGCCGCCGCGCCGAGGCCCCGGGUGUGGUCCUGGUGGAGGUGCGUGAGGAAGUAGGCCUGGCUGCCGCCGCUGAACUUGUCCACGGACACCAGCCCCUCGUCCAUGGCCGCCGCUGAACUUGCCGCCAAUGCGCCGCGGCGGAUUUUGGGGGAUGUUUUUGCCUUUCUGAGGAAGAGGGGAGGGGAGGCAAGAGACGAGACGCGCGCCAAAAUGAAAACGCUAACCGCAUGUGGCAAUUGUCACAGAGAAGCAUGUCAACAUUUUCUUUUUUUUUCUUUUUUGAGAGGCAUGUCAACAUUUUCUUCUUCUUUUUUUUGAACUGCAUGUCAACAUUUUCGAAACCGCCAUCGGACAGGUUUAUGUCAUCAAGAAUCAACGUUAAUAAUCACUCGUGUAAUGAGACUGGAUAUUAGAUUAGUCGUCUUUUUCAUCUUCUCCCUUCCUUUUUCACCUGUAUGUAUAUCUACUCUUUGUUGCUCUAGCGUGUCAAAAUGAAAACACUAACAGCAUGUAUCGUGCGGUAAAUGUCACAAAGAAGCAUGCCAACAUUGCAUUUAUUUGGACACAAACAUGUACAUACAGAAACCUAGACAGCGUCCAUUACCCAAGUAUCCAAUGCAGAAAACUACCGAAGAGUACAACAGGUACACAUAUUACAUCCGGAAGCCUGGACUUGCAAAACAAGAGAGGUUCAUAAAAAUACAGCGCAUGCACACAGCAAUAGUUCAGUCUACUUGCAGUUGACAACAUAAAACAUCACACGACGCAAACCAACAAAGACCCCCGCCACCUGAGAGCCCGGCUCUAAAGCCUGCCGGCAAAGCCAGUUUAUGAUUUGCGCGCGCUCGUGCAGUGGAUGCUGGAUACAGAGUUGCUUCGCUCAGGUACACAGGGAUCGCCUAGGUACACAAG
rnacentral:lncRNA from 1 species